rnacentral:rRNA from 1 species
AAGGGUGUGUUUUUAUAUAGUUUGGUAUUGCAUAUCAUUUAAAGAAAAUUUUAUAAUUUAUAAAAAAUAGAAUUAAAAGGUAGAAAAAUUUAUUAUUUUUAUUGUUUCAAAAUAAAAAUUAUAAUUUUUAGGGUUGAAAAGUCGACUUUUAGGAUAUUUGUGUAAUUAGUAUAAUUAGAAAUUUAUUAUUUUGUAGAUUAAAUUUUAUAAAUAGUAAGAGUUGAAGUAUCUAUUUUGCUAGUUUUAUAACAGUUUAUAAAUUAAUUGGUAAAAAUUAAAAUUUUAAAAAUUUAAUAAUUUGUUAUUAUAUUUAUUAUUUUAAAAUUAGUAGUUAUCAAAAAUAUAAUAUUUUUUGUUAAUAUAAUUAAAGAACUCAAAAAUUAAUCAAAUGUUUUUUAAAGACUUAGACUUUUUAAUAAAGUUUGCUUCUGCCCAGUGAUAUAUUUUAAAUGGCAGUCUUAGCGUGAGGACAUUAAGGUAGCAAAAUAAUUUGUGCUUUUAUUGAGUUCCAGUAUGAAUGAAGUUAUUGGUUAAUUUAUUUUUUAAUUUUAUAAUGAAGUUUUAUUUAGUAUAAGAAAGUAUUAGUAUAAUAAUACAAAGAUAAGUCUUCGGAAAUUCUUUUUUAAUAAUGAUAUUUAAAUUAUUAUUAAAAAUUUUCUAGGGCAGAAUUUUAUAUAAAUUAUUUAAUCUAUUAAUAAUUUAAAGAAUUACUCCGGAGUUAACAGAAAAUCAUACCUAAUCUAGUUCUUAUAGUAAGGUAAGUUUUACAUCGAUGUUGUAUUUAAAUUUAUUAAAAAAGGAGAAGAUUUAAAAAUUAAGACUGUUCUUCUUUUAAUUAAUUUAACGUGAUAUUAGUUUAAUUCAUUGUGAGAUAGAAUUGUUUAUCUUGUUUAUUAUUGAGGUAAAAUUUUAAUAGUACGAAAGGAAAAUUAAAAAAAGUUUUAAACUUUAUAAGGAGGGAUCUUA